rnacentral:rRNA from 1 species
GACGAACGCUGGCGGCGUGCUUAACACAUGCAAGUCGAACGGAAAGGCCCUGCUUUUGUGGGGUGCUCGAGUGGCGAACGGGUGAGUAACACGUGAGUAACCUGCCCUUGACUUUGGGAUAACUUCAGGAAACUGGGGCUAAUACCGGAUAGGAGCUACUGCUGCAUGGUGGGGGUUGGAAAGUUUCGGCGGUUGGGGAUGGACUGGCGGCUUAUCAGCCUGUUGGUGGGGUAGUGGCUUACCAAGGCUUUGACGGGUAGCCGGCCGGAGAGGGUGACCGGCCACAUUGGGACUGAGAUACGGCCCAGACUCCUACGGGAGGCAGCAGUGGGGAAUAUUGCACAAUGGGCGGAAGCCUGAUGCAGCAACGCCGCGUGCGGGAUGACGGCCUUCGGGUUGUAAACAGCUUUCGCCUGUGACGAAGCGUGAGUGACGGUAAUGGGUAAAGAAGCACCGGCUAACUACGUG